rnacentral:rRNA from 1 species
CAGCCGCCGCGGUAAUACGAGGGGGGCAAGCGUUGUUCGGAAUUAUUGGGCGUAAAGGGUGCGUAGGCGGCUUGACAAGUCUUGUGUGAAAUCUAUGGGCUCAACCCAUAGUCUGCACGGGAAACUGUCGGGCUUGAGAAUGGGAGAGGUGAGUGGAGUUUCCGGUGUAGCGGUGAAAUGCGUAGAUAUCGGAAGGAACACCUGUGGCGAAAGCGGCUCACUGGACCAUUUCUGACGCUGAUGCACGAAAGCUAGGGGAGCAAACAGGAUUAGAUACCCCCGUAGUCACUGUCUCUUAUAC